GGUAUAGCGGAGGAGUGAGUGUAGUGUCGUCACGGGGCUAUCAAUGCGCAGAAGAAGUGUUUCACGCUUGGGGGCGGAGGGUCUUGCGGCUCUGCGCCCCCUCAUCCUAGGAGGCAAGUGUCUUGCGCGUUGCAUUUCGGUGCUUGCGCUUGACCGACCCUCCCGGGCGUACUGAACACCGGCGUGAAUUGCGCCAAGGAACUUGAAUGAAAGAGCGUUUCCCCCGCCGUCCCGGAGACGGUGCUCGUGCGGGUGGUUUCGUCGUCUUCAAUAUGUCUAAACGACUCUCGGCAACGGAUAUCUCGGCUCUCGCAUCGAUGAAGAACGUAGCGAAAUGCGAUACUUGGUGUGAAUUGCAGAAUCCCGUGAACCAUCGAGUCUUUGAACGCAAGUUGCGCCCGAAGCCAUUAGGCCGAGGGCACGUCUGCCUGGGCGUCACACGUCGUUGCCCCCCCCCACCCUCCUCGGGAGUUGGAUGGGACGGAUGAUGGCCUCCCGUGUGCUCAGUCACGCGGUUGGCAUAAAUACCAAGUCCUCGGCGACCAACGCCACGACAAUCGGUGGUUGUCAAACCUCGGUUGCCUGUCGUGCGCGCGUCUUGAUCGAGCCUUUCGUGGACAAUGUGGGUCGAACUGUCGCACGUCACCCACUCAGCGCAGACAUGAGAAAAUAACUUC
rnacentral:rRNA from 1 species